CCUGUACCACGCAGAAAGCUUCUUGCAUCAGUUUUAUGAUUACCGAUCAUUACUCAAGGUUAAUAUUUUUACGGCGGCUCAUUUUAUUUUGGCUUAAAAAUAAACACAAUUGACAAGUUUCUUUCCCCUGCAUUCUUGAUCGCACAAGUAAAUAGCACGUUGGUCUCAAAUAAGACAUUGAUACAAUGCAACACUUGCCGUCAGUAUUUGAAAAUAUUGAUUAAGAAGCUGUGUGUAAAAGUGAAUGUUUAAAUGGAGGCUCAUGUAGAGGACCUGACUACUGCGCAUGUCCACAAAACUUUACAGGUCCUUUGUGUGAACUAGGUUGUCAGCAAGAUGAAAAGAAUAAAUAUGCAGUUAAAAGUCAAAAUGUGGAUAAGCUUCAAAGUUCAAGGUCCUACUUUUGCAGAUUUUCAUAUUUUGCAUGAAUGAAUUUAAAGUUUAUAUCAUGGACAGCAGUGAAAGAAAAAAAAAUUCUUUUCAAUUUUCCUGCUACAAAGGAUAAAUGUAAAGACAUCUUGUUUUCGAAGGAUUGAAAUGCAUCACCUAGAAUAAAUGAAGAAAACAUAGAAACAAGACCAGAAUACAUUCAAAGACAAUGUUGGAUCAGUUAUUAUUUUCAUCAAGCAGUCAAUGAUUUAGAGUUCUUUAAAAUACCAAACUAUCUUGAAACCACAAUAAUGUCAAUGUUCUUUGCUGAAUGACCAAAAAGUGGACUAUACAAACACACAG